AACCCUGCCCCAUAGUCUGGGAUACCACUUGGAAACAGGUGCUAAUACCGGAUAAGAAAGCGGAUCGCAUGAUCAGCUUUUAAAAGGCGGCGUAAGCUGUCGCUAUGGGAUGGCCCCGCGGUGCAUUAGCUAGUUGGUAAGGUAAAGGCUUACCAAGGCGAUGAUGCAUAGCCGAGUUGAGAGACUGAUCGGCCACAUUGGGACUGAGACACGGCCCAAACUCCUACGGGAGGCAGCAGU
rnacentral:rRNA from 1 species